GAAACCAUAGAAUUUGAAGUUUGUAAAAAGUUGAUUUAUAAUAUAAUUCUAGUUUUCUUUCUUGGUUCUUUUCUUUUCUGAUAAGUCAGUUGUCUUUCUGUGUUCUUUAAUUUUAUUAUAGGAAAGGCUCAGCAAGUAUGGUGUGGCCAUGAGGCUGUAGAUUUGCAGUCAGUUUUAUUAUGGUCUGAGGACUUUCUUUUUUGUCUUGCGAUAAGUUCUGAAAGAUUUUUUAAGAAAUUUGAAAUAAAACAAAUCUUCUAAGAGAUUUGCGCAUUUUCUGAUUUGUUAUGCUUUCUGUCUUGUAUAGGUACAAGAAGAUGGAGAUUUGUGUAACUCCUUAUCCAGCGACUAAUGGUCCAGAUGAAGUUGCUGGUGAUUGAACUGAAACCAUCUCUGUUGACUCAUUCCACGAUGACAACAAAUUAUUCUUUAAUCUUUGUUGAGGCUAUUGAACAAUUAGGGCUUUUGGUCGAGAGGAACCUGUAGCUAGUAUGGACAAUAGUGGAAAAAUCAUAUGGGCUAAGCACAAUGAAAUUCAGACUGUUAAUAUUAGGAGUGUUGGUGCAGAUUAUGAGGUUACUGGUGGAGAAAGAUUACCUUUGGUAGUGAAAGAGUUGGGGACCUGUGAUCUUUACCCACAAGUGAG